CUUGAGAUGAUGACCUGAGCAGUGCUGAUG
rnacentral:piRNA from 1 species